GCUUCAAUUAAAAGUUAGUGAUUUAUAGGCUCUCCAAAACACAAAGUUUCCAUCGAAUUUCCCCCUUACAGCGCCAAAUAUAAGCUAUGAAAUGUGAGUAAAAGUCUGUGAUUAGCCAUUACAGUAUCUUGAUUCCACUCCGAGAUGGGAAGUCGAAGUGAAAAAGUAUCAUAUGCUUCACAAUCGGUUGAGACUCGUACUCAAACCUUGUUUGAGCGCCAUUUUAUCCAAAACUCAGGCCCAUUUAGUUUGUAUUUUUAUUUUAGUUUUGAAGGUCUGUUUUAAGAAUUCUAAAGACGCAUUUGGUUUGUCAUUUUGAAAACUUAUUUCUCAAAACAGAAAAUUAGAAACCACGAUUUGUUUGAAAUUUUGGAAAAUUAUUUUAUUACAUUUUAUUCCAAAAAAUUUUAUUCAAUUUUACGGAACUUAUUUUCAAGUAUUAAAUACAUGUUAAAAUUGAUGAAUCUUACAAUAAUUUUUC
rnacentral:lncRNA from 1 species